rnacentral:rRNA from 1 species
UACGUAGGGUGCAAGCGUUGUCCGGAAUUAUUGGGCGUAAAGAGCUCGUAGGCGGUUUGUUGCGUCGGCUGUGAAAACCUGCAGCUCAACUGCAGGCUUGCGGUCGAUACGGGCAGGCUCGAGUUCGGUAGGGGAGACUGGAAUUCCCGGUGUAGCGGUGAAAUGCGUAGAUAUCGGGAGGAACAUCAAAGGCGAAGGCGACCACCUGGAUCUACACUGACGCUGAGGUGCGAAAGCGUGGGUAGCAAACAGG